rnacentral:siRNA from 1 species
UCGCCGCGAUCCGAACACUUC